GGGAAAUUGGCAAAUCAAGUGGAGGAGGCAUUUAAGGCCUAGUAGAUCCCUCACCUAGCCAUAGAUUAUACCAGAAGUGUGGUCGAUAACUACUGUACCUAUUCAACAUGCAGGGCAUAGGAACAGCAUGGAGACUGGCACGGAGGAGGGCUGAAUUCCCAGAGGGCUGCCGCCAACUCAACAGUGAGGGGCUCAGACCCUUCACCUCUGUGGGUGUCAGUGUGCUUCUCUGUAGAAUGAAGGGUAGGAAGAAGAACCAGUCCACACCGCUCCUUCCACUACCUCCUUUCCUCAUCCCUCUUCCUUCUCUUUCACUGUUGGGGCGGCUGUGUGGAUAUCAGAGUUCAGCUGUACAAGCCGGAGUGGGAAGUUUUGGCUGAUUGCCAGUUUUCUUCAGAAUUUCUCUACAAGUUGAGUUAGGGAGCAGCAAGCUGGUGGCAGGGUGGAACCAGUGUUUGUUGUGCUUUCCAUAAAAUGAGAUCCAUCUCUUCCAAGCCACCCUUUUCUCCAGUACUGACUAGCUGAUCUCCAAGAUACCUGAUGGUCUAGUUUCAGGAUUAGCCCUGUGGUCUGACCCGCUGGCUACUCCAGAUGGAACUGUCUCCGGGCUCUUCUGUGUGCUUAGCCUUCCCUCUGGGCAGAAAUGCACCAGGGAAAGGACAUAACGAAACUGGUUUUAUCAGAACAGCCUGCCUGAGAGAGAUCAAGCAGGGCACAGUCUGCACACCUUGUCCGAGGCUCCGAUGUUAUCCAGGUCACCAGGUAUGCCCCUGGGCUCCUGCCGCAGCUGAUCGGGUGCUAGGUGCUGAGGAUACACGUCUGGGAGAAAGCAAUUGGAAGAAAUGCAAAGCUCUUCAAAGGAGACCUAUAAAGUCAUCUUUGUUUUGUUCAUUCUUCUCAUGUUUCUGCAUUCUGGGCAUUCUCCUAAAUUGGGGAGAAACCAAAAUGCCCAGAAGUCAAAUUCUGCAACUGUCAUCAUGCAAAAUGUCAAAUGAGAGAACCAAAAUAGUAUUCUGAGCGGGAUGCAUAAACCUCACCAGUCUGCCAAAGGAAUCCAUGUCCAGUAAAGAUUAAGAACCUCAGCUCUAAGUGAGGUUAGAAUGGGGUUUGCAAAUGUUGCUCAGGGUCUGUGUCAAUGUCACUUUAUUUAAACAUUCCUGAGAUUCAGCCUCCAGCUCACUGAGCUCCUCCUAACCAAAUAUGUGAAGGAAGAAGCUGCAUCUGUAUAAACAUCAUCCAGCUAAAGUGUCAGGUUUCCUUCUCUUCUUCACAGUUGUUUGAAGCCAACAGUUAAAGGCAUUAAAAGGAUCAAAUAUCCUGUGUGGCUGGAAGAAGAGAAAAGAACUUGGGAAUUACAACCCAAGCAUUUGGUUUAACUCUGCUACCCUGUUUUAUUUGUUUGAAUUAAGCGCAACCAAUAAGAGCUCAAAAAAUGAAAGAAUAAGUCAUAAACCUGUAAGUUACUGGUUUAAUUUUCUCAGUAGGGCAUUAGGGCAUCACCUAAUAGCUGCUUAACAGCUUGAUAAUGAAGAGUCAUGGCUUCUGAUCAGUGCCUAGACAUGGCGUGACGAAUGCAUUUUACUGUGAUCUGAUCCAGUUACCACUGUGCUGGGAAGGGCUCUGAGGCCAUCUCCAGGUCUAAGAAGGGGAAAGGUGCUGUGGUAGAUCACUGAUGCCUGCUAUGGUAAAGGGAUGGAGCUGUCUGCAUGCCCCAUAAUUACCCAGAGUCCAGCCCUAACUGGUGCCAAUGGCCACCUUUACUUGAAACCCAGGUAGAAAUAUAUUCCUGAACGUUCCUUCCAUAUCUCCCCUCUGUGCUGAAUAGAAAGGGUAACCUCAGUUCCUGUAACUAUUUUGCCAACUAACUGCAUUAUAUUGAUGAACAAGGAGCAUGAAACACAUGAUAUUGUACAAAACUGUCUGGGAUGCAAAAACAUUAUAGCACAAUUGAUGAGAGAGAAUUUACUAAAAAAUUAAUAAAUUGAUCAAAGAAA
rnacentral:lncRNA from 10 species